GCCGCUAUGGUGAAAUUGGUAGACACGCUGCUCUUAGGAAGCAGUGCUAUAUAGCAUCUCGGUUCGAGUCCGAGUAGCGGCA
rnacentral:tRNA from 1 species